CCUACGGGUGGCAGCAGUGAGGAAUAUUGGUCAAUGGGCGGAAGCCUGAACCAGCCAAGUAGCGUGCAGGAUGACGGCCCUACGGGUUGUAAACUUCUUUUAUAUGGGAGUAACGCGCCGUAUGUGUACUGCUUUGCAUGUACCUUAUGAAUAAGGACCGGCUAAUUCCGUGCCAGCAGCCGCGGUAAUACGGAAGGUCCGGGCGUUAUCCGGAUUUAUUGGGUUUAAAGGGAGCGUAGGCGGCAUGUCAAGCCUGCUGUGAAAGGUUGGGGCUCAACCCGAGAAGUGCAGCGGAUACUGGCGUGCUUGAGUACAGGGGAGGUAGGCGGAAUUCGUGGUGUAGCGGUGAAAUGCUUAGAUAUGACGAAGAACCCCGAUUGCGAAGGCAGCUUGCUGGAGCGGAACUGACGCUGAUGCUCGAAAGCGUGGGUAUCAAACAGGAUUAGAUACCCGAGUAGUC
rnacentral:rRNA from 1 species